UAAAGGGUAGUGUUAAUGUAGCACGGAGAGUUUUGGUCUCUUAUGUAUAGGUUCAAAUCCUGUUUCUUUAA
rnacentral:tRNA from 1 species